ensembl:lncRNA
UUUUUUUUUUUUUGCUUUUUUUGCUUUUUUUGCUUUUUAGGGUCACACCCGUGUCUUAAGGAAGUUCCCAGGCUAGGGGUGGAAUCGGAGCUACAGCUGCUGGCCUAUACCACAGCCCCAGCAACGAGGGAUUCAAGCCACAUCUGCACCCUAUACCACAGCUCACAGCCAUGCCAGAUCCAACCCACUGAGCAAGGCAAGGGAUCAAACCCUCAUCUUCAUGGAUGCUAGUCGGGCUUGUUACUGCUGAGCCACAAUGGGAACUUCUAUGAGCCUGUUUCUGUUGGAUUUCUUUGUUCAUUUGUUUUGUUUUUUAGAUUCCACAUAUCAGUGAAAUCAUAAAGUAUUUAUCUUUCUCUGUCUGACUUAUCUCACUUAGCAUAACUUCCUCAAGGUCCAUCCAUUGUUGUCCCAUGUGGCAAGAUUUUAUUCAUUUUAUGACUGAGUAAUAUUCCAUUGCAUAAAUAUACCAUAUUUUCUUUAUCCAUCUAUUGAUGGACACUUGAGCUGCUUCCAAAUCUUGGCUAUUGCAAAUAAUGCUUCAAUCAACAUAUGGGUCCAUAUAUAUCCUUUCAAAUUAUUGUUUCCAUUUCCUAUAGAUAAAUACCCAGAAGUGAAACUGAUGGAUCAUGUGGUAGUUCUAUUUUCAAUUUUUUUUUUUUUUUCUAUUUCUUUGGGCCGCUCCCGCGGCAUAUGGAGGUUUAUAUAGAGUAUCACAUCAUCUGCAAACAGUGACAGUUUUACUUCAUUUCCAAUUUGGUUGCCUUUUAUCUCUUUUUCAUGUCUGACUGCUGUGGCUAGGACUUUCAAUACUGUGUUGAAUAGAAGUGGCAAGAGUAUCCUGUCUUGUUCCUGAUCUCUGAUAAAAAGCCUUAAGCUUUUCACCAGCAAGUAUUAUGUUAGCUGUGAGUUUGUCAUAUGUGCCUUUAUUACAUUAAGGUGUGUUCUCUUUAUGCUCACUUUGUUAACAGUUUUUAUCAUAAAUGGAUGUUGAAUUUUGUCAAAGGCUUUUCCCACAUCUACAGAGAUGAUAUGAUGUUUUUCAUUUCCUUUUAAAAUUUUAUUUAUUUAUUUUUAUUGAACUAUAGUCAAUUUACAAUACUGUGUUAGUUUCAGGUGUACAGCACAAUAAUUCGGGUUUUUUGUAGAAUAUAUUCCUUUAUAAGUUAUUACAAGAUAUUGGGUAUAAUUCUCUGUGCAAUACAUAAAUCCUUGUUGCUUAUCUAUUUUAUGUAGAGCAGUUUGUAUCUAUUAAUCUCAUACUUCUAAGUUGUCUCUCUCUCUUACCUUUGGUAACCAUAAGUUUGUUUCCUACAUCUGUCUUUUUCUGUUUUGUAUAUAUAAUCAUCUGCAUUAUUUUUCAGAUUCCAUAUAUAAGUGAUAUCAUACAGUAUUUUAAACUUUAUAAAGCAUAAUAUUCUCUAAGUUCAUCCAUGUUGCUCCAAAUGGCAAUAUUUGGUUCUUUCAUGGUUGAAAAUAUUCCAUUAUAUUUACAUAUAUAUACAUGUGUACAAAUAUAAUGGAAUAUUAUAUAUUUAUUAUUAUUAUGUUUUUUGUUUGUUUUUUUAGGGCCACACCUGUGACAUGUGGAAGUUCCCAGUCUAGGGGUUGAAUUGGAGCUGCAGCUUUUGGCCUAUGCCACAGCCACAGCAACACCAGAUCCGAGCCACAUCUGCAACCUACACCACAGCUCACAGCAAUGCCAGAUCCUUUAACCCACUGGGAAAGGCCAGGGAUCAAACCUGCAUCCUCAUGGAUACUAGUCGAGUUCUUGACCCACAGAGCCACAGUAGGAACUCCUCUAUAUAUUAUUGAUUCAACUUCAUUACUAAUAAUCAGUCUGUUCAGAUUUCCUCCUGAUUAAGUCUUGGAAGACUGAAUGUUUCUGGGAAUUGAUCCAUUUCUCUUAGGGUGUCCAGUCUGUUCGGACAUAGUUGUUCAGAAUAAUCUCUUAAGGUCCUUGAUAUUUCUGUGGUGUUGGUUAUAACUUCUCUUUCAUUUCUGAUUUUUUUUUUUUUUGUCUUUUUUUUAGGGCCACAGAACAAAGGGAAUUUUCACCCACUCACAGGUUCUUCUCU